rnacentral:lncRNA from 1 species
CUUGUCCUCUGUUUACAUGCACGCUCUGGGGAGAAACACUUUUAUUUGCUGCUAACAUCUUACCUGGAAUUGUCCAUGACCUGGAGAGUCUGUGUGGUGGUCCAGCCAUUCAGUGCGGGUGAGCCUCAGUGCCUGUUGUCUGCUACAAGCACGGUGGCCUUUGCUGGUUAUGGAUUGUAACCUGUGUUCUGUAGGUAACAUGUGCCCAUUUGACAGGACUUAGAACCAGACAGCCUCUGAAUCUCGACCUUAGCAUGGUCACUUGGGAAAGCCAACCAAUCCUGGAAGCAAAGGAAGCGGCUAAAGAGUAUUGUGAGUAAUUGUGUAGAGUUAGGGUUAGGGUUAGGGUUUGGAGGUAGGGUUUAGCUUGGACAUUUAAGAAGAGAGAAUGGUGCAGGUUGAGGGUAGAUAAAGGACUGGCCUUAAUCCUAUUACUUUUGGGAAGAUUUUGGGAGAGAAGAACUGGCCCCAGUAAACAUUCAGUACACAUGAAAGUGAAGAAUUAAGAAACCUCUCAAUGAAGGUGAAAGAGGAG